CAAUAGCGUAUAUUAAAGUUGUUGCAGUUAAAAAGCUCGUAGUUGGAUUUCUGGUUGAAGCGACCGGUCGGGCGGUGAUUCGUCUGCACUGGAGUCGGUUUUGGCCAUCCUCUAGGAAAGUGCGUCUGGUAUUAAGUUAUCGGGCGUAUGAUCCUGGUCUUUUACUGUGAAAAAAUUAGAGUGUUUAAAGCAGGCCUUCGCCUUGAAUACAUUAGCAUGGAAUAAUAAGAUAGGACUUUGGUCUAUUUUGUUGGUUUGCAGACCGAAGUAAUGAUUAAUAGGGAUAGUUGGGGGUAUUUAUAUUCCGAUGUCAGAGGUGAAAUUCUUAGAUUUUCGGAAGAUAAACUUAUGCGAAAGCAUUUACCAAGGAUGUUUNCAUUAA
rnacentral:rRNA from 1 species